AUUGAACGCUGGCGGCAGGCCUAACACAUGCAAGUCGAACGAGUGGCGGACGGGUGAGUAAUGUCUGGGAAACUGCCUGAUGGAGGGGGAUAACUACUGGAAACGGUAGCUAAUACCGCAUACCAUCGGAUGUGCCCAGAUUGGAUUAUCUAGUAGGUGGGGUAAAGGCUCACCUAGGCGACGAUCCCUAGCUGGUCUGAGAGGAUGACCAGCCACACUGGAACUGAGACACGGGCCAGACUCCUACGGGAGGCAGCAGUGGGGAAUAUUGGACAAUGGGCGAAAGCCUGACGGAGCCAUGCCGCGUGUAUGAAGAAGGCCUUCGGGUUGUAAAGUACUUUUAGCGGGGAGGCGGUACCCGAAGAAGAAGCACCGGCUAACUCCGUGCCAGCAGCCGCGGUAAUUC
rnacentral:rRNA from 1 species